rnacentral:rRNA from 1 species
UACGUAGGGUGCGAGCGUUAAUCGGAAUUACUGGGCGUAAAGCGUGCGCAGGCGGUUCGCCAAGUCAGGUGUGAAAUCCCCGGGCUUAACCUGGGAAUUGCGCUUGAAACUAGCGGGCUUGAGUGUGGCAGAGGGGAGUGGAAUUCCACGUGUAGCAGUGAAAUGCGUAGAGAUGUGGAGGAACACCGAUGGCGAAGGCAGCCCCCUGGGUCAACACUGACGCUCAUGCACGAAAGCGUGGGGAGCAAACAGG